rnacentral:misc_RNA from 1 species
GCCAGCGUGUAUACAUAUAUAGAGCAAACAAAAAUUCAUGAAUCAACUAGGACAAAUAAGCAACCACCACGUGAAAUUAAUUCGCAACCCCCAUUCUCAUCUUCCUAUUGCCUUUCUACUCUACUAUAUAAUGCAAUUUCUGCAGCUCAUAGCAUGCAUCUUUCAACCCUAGCCCACUUGCACAUUCCAGCCAUGCCACCAACCACCACCACCACUGAACCCCAUGUUGUGGUCUUCGCCUUCCCCUUCGGCACCCACGCAGCCCCACUCUUCUCCGUCAUCCACCGGCUUGCCACUUUUUCUCCAAACACCCACUUUUCUUUCUUCAACACCUCAGAAUCCAACACCUCCAUCUUCUCCGCUUCUAAAUACAACACGUUACCAAACAUCAAAGUCAGUGACGUGUGGGACGGUAUCCGUGAAGGCUAUACGUUUUUGGGGAAGCCCCAGGAGAAAAUUGAGCUGUUCUUGAAAGCAGCUCCUGAGAGCUUCAGGAAGAGCAUCAAGGAAGCGGUUGCAGAGACUGGAAGGAAAGUCACCUGUUUACUGACUGAUGCGUUUUUUUGGUUCGCGGCUGAAAUGGCGGAGGAGAUAAGAGUGGAUUGGGUGGCGUUUUGGACUAGUUCGCCUGCAGCCGUUUCUGCUCAUUUUUACACUGAUUUUAUCAGGGAAAAUUUUGGAGCUGGAGGUAAUGAUCUUGCAAGGGAUUAUUUGCUGUCCUUGAUCCCAUGGGAAUAAUUUCUAAUAUUAAACCUUAUUACAAAUUAAUUUUUGGUUAAUGGCAUAGUUUUAACAGGAUUUUUGUGAUUUUUAUUUUAAAUUUUUUAUUUAUUUGUGUAUGAUACAGAUACAGUGGAGAAAGAUCAAACCCUCCAUUUAAUUCCAGGAUUCUCUAAAGUUCAAAUUCGUGAUUUACCAGAGGAAGUGCUGCUUGGAAACUUGGAAUCAAUCUUCUCCCGAAUGCUUCACAAAAUGGGAAAUAUGUUACCCAGAGCAGCUGCAGUCUUCUUGAACUCAUUUGAAGAACUAGAUCCUAUCAUAAUAAAUGACUUGAACUCCAAAUUCAAGAGAUUCCUCUGUACUGGACCCUUCAACUUGGUUUCGUCACCAUCACAAGUGCCAGACACAAAUGGUUGCAUAGCGUGGCUUGACAAGCAAAAACCUGCAUCAGUGGCAUAUGUUAGCUUUGGCUCCGUGGCAACACCACCACCCAAGGAACUUGUGGCCCUAGCUGAAGCAUUAGAAGCUAGCAAGGUAGCUUUCUUAUGGUCACUCAAGGACAGUUCACACCUGCCAAAAGGUUUCUUGGAUAGAACAAAAUCGCAUGGAAUUGUGCUACCGUGGGCUCCCCAAGUUGAAAUCUUAGCACAUACUGCUAUCGGGGUUUUUAUAACACACUGUGGUUGGAACUCGGUGCUGGAGAGUAUCGUAGGAGGGGUGCCUAUGAUUUGCAGGCCAUUCUUUGGCGAUCAAAAGCUCAAUGGAAGGAUGGUAGAGGAUGUCUGGAAUAUUGGCCUCAGAGUGGAGGGUGGAGUGCUCACAAAAAAUGGAGUAAUUGAUUGUUUGGACCAAAUUUUCUCGCAAGAAAAGGGAAAGAUAAGGAGGGAGAAUAUUAAAACGCUUCAAGAACUGGCGAAAAGGGCAACAGAACCAAAUGGGAGCUCUUCCAAGAACUUCAUUGCAUUAGCAGACUUAGUGACGAACAAUGGAAACUAUAAAAAUUAGUUGUUUUCCUACUAACGUUUCUGCAUUUGUCAUUUUCAAACCUUGGAGGUAAUAAAUUUUCACUUUUGUGUGUUAAAAAUCAGAAGAACAACACUCCGUUUAUGAUCCUUCGAGUAAUCUAGGAUAUUGGUGGGAAGAAAAAGAAAAAGGCUUAUUAGAUUAAAACAAAAAAAAAUAAAUUAAAUUAAUGAACUUUUCACCUAAUUUUAAAAUUUUUAGGCUUUUCACAAAU